rnacentral:sRNA from 1 species
CUGGUAAGGAAAAUAAUUUGGAAGAGGAAAGAAGACUUUUUUAUGUUGGUAUGACUAGAGCAAUAGACAAUUUAUAUCUUUUUGUACCUAA